ACAUACAUACAUAUAUAUAUUUUGAGAUAUAAAGCGUGAUAAAACGAUUGUAAAGCAGACGCAAUAUGAGAUGGAUUUAUUGUUCGUCUAUUUCCGUUUUAGGAUUCGUUUAUUCAUUAAACGCUUACCGUUCGUUUAUUCGAUUUUCCAGUAAUUUCUGUUUUCUUCUCCAUCAAUUCUACUUGCAACAAAGUUAUUUUUUGCUCCAGCUCAUUGUUUCUACUUUUCUCCCCGUCAAGACUGCAAGGAAAAGAGGAGAAAAAUUACCAGCGAAGACGGUCGAUUUUAUAAAGAAUUCCUCACCAACUUUUCAAAUUUUCUUUUUCUGCAAGAAGCUCACGAUACUUCUCACGCAUCGUAACGUUCUUCUCUUCGAGCAAUUUCAAUCUAGCUUUAAUACUUUCUACGGACUUUGCAUUAGCGAUUGAAAUUCGUCGAUCUCGAGCCGAUUCGCUCGCUAUUUUCCUCAUUUCCAUCCUGUUCUCUGAGAAUGUAGAUUCUUGACAACGGUGGAAAGGAAAUUAAUUAUAAAAUUGAAUGAGUAGAGAUAAAAAUUUGGAAAAACAAGGAGACCCUACAACGAAGCGAGUGGUUUCUAUUAUUAUAUUUCAACUUAAAUCGGCUCUCUCCGGAUGUAUCUGUGCCGGUCGUGCUUCUACUAUAAUCCACGGACAUUGGAGUGAUCCAUCCAGCUGUUGUGUAACUUCCUGAAAGGAUGAUAAAUUUGCUCGUUCGUGCUUGAAAACUAACUUCCCUUUUGAAUGGCGUGCUAAAAAGGCAAUAGAUUAUGGGAUUGGCAGCAGAAUUCAAUGGCGCUAAACUUUGUAUGAAAGUCGCUACUGCGAUGUUCGUCUGUGUUUUCGGCACGUGUCCGUAAACUUGAAGGAGAUCGAAGAUUAUGUAUGGACUCCAGCAAAGGAUGAAUACUGCAAUAAUUCUUUUGUAAUGGCCACGUGUUUGGAUCGUGAUUCAGAGCUCUAAUAGCCAUUCCAAUUGUAUAAACACUUUAAGAAUGUUCCCGAUGAACGAGCAGAUUGUAUUCGUUCCCUUUUAAUCCGAUUACUGAAUGGUAGUUACUGUUAUUUCGAGUGUUCAGAAAGAUGAUGGGAAUGCUGAAAAGUGCCGAGAGGCUCCAAGCAACCACCACCAAUACUCGAGCUCUCCACCCUGCAUAAAAUUCUUCACCUUACAAGUGUUUAUCAACUGGUAUUAUCACCGAUAAUAUUUUUGUUACGAAGAACACCAAGAUAAUAUCUCGACGUCUUAGGAAUCUAGAAGGGAUUGUCAUUCAACGAUUUUCAAUCAUGGACAUUGGAUUUUUGUUCUAAUUAAAUCUGUAUGCACGUAAGUAGAUACGUAUAACGAGAAGGUUCGAAUUUUUCGGGGUUUAUCGCGUGGUCUAAAUCGAGCAUUUCCCUAAAGCACUCUUCCAAGUUUAUUCUCGUUUUACAUGGACGAUACAUCGUGCUUUCUGCUAUAGACAUCAUCGAAAUACAUAGGAGAAAGUCCUUACGGUCAAGACAAAAAUUGACUGCAUCAACUGAUAUUAUCUUUUCAACUUUUACUUAAAUAUUUAUUACACGUUGAUGGUUUCCAUUCUUUCGUAUAAAUAAUAUUCAAUCUUCUGUUUCUAACAGGACAUUACUGUCGUAUUAAAAAUCGAAGAAGUUUAUCAAAAAAGAGGAAUUUUAUCGAAUAGAACGUAGCAAUCAAGCAAAUUGCUUCAGUCGUUUUACGGAAAAAGGAAAAGCAGAAAAGAUAUCAGCUCUGGCGGAGUUCGAAAACAAUUCCAUUUGUGGGAAAUCGCAUCGACGUUAACUUUGUUACUAUAGGAAUCAUUCUAAUUAACUCUGCUAACGGUGAGUUAGACUUAUAAUUAUUUUGCGAGAAAAAUCGCGUUAUCUCUUCGUUAUUUUUGCAUCGAGUUAACUAAAUGAGAAGGUUAACGAGAGAAAAACGAUCAAAAGCGAUGGAAAUCUUUCUCGUUCAUUAAAGAUGCGUCGGUAAGUUUGUAGAACCUUCAUUUAAUGUAUUUAACAUUGUAUUUUUGUCGUACUCGAGAAAGUGGUCUCUUUUUACCCGAUGAAAAAUGUAUCUUUCUCUCUCGUUAUUCUAUCUUUUUUAUCUUUUUUAUUUUCUCUUUUUUCUAUUUUUCUUCUCUCGAGGAUUUACUUACGCGAGAUAUAAUAUCAGGGUGAAAUGAGGCGAGAAUAGAGAAGGAAAGGAACAAAAUGUAUAGGGUGUUUUGGCAAAAAAUUAUUUCACUCAAACUUUUUCUGAUCAACAGAAUAUUUUUAUCAUCGUAUAAACAGACGAAUUAGACGAUAUGAAUUAGUUGAUUUUCAGAGAAACCAGAAAGAGUUACGUUUGAGAAAGAUGACAAAGUUUAAAAUGUAAAACAUACACAUAUACGCAUAUCUUUGAAAAUCGGCUUCGUGGUUGGAAACAAUUUCUCGGUCGACAGUAAAUAUAAAGUCUGAAAAGAGGAAAGCUUGCGACUGACUGGCGACCUUUAAAUUACAGCUUUUUCUUCUUCUUCCUCCGUGUCUGCCUCUUCAUCCAGCUCACCACUCUUUGGUGACUUUUCUCUCGAGAAUAACGUGAAAUGUGUGUACGCGUUUGCUACCUCGGCUUUUUCGAAUACAACUUCGAAAUGUACGGAGAGAGAAAGAGAGAGAAGGAGGAAACAAGAGAUACGAAAGGAUCUUCUCGACACUUUUUCUAUGUUAUCAUAUAUAUAUAUGAGCGUGUGUGAGAAUACAUUUAUAUAUUUCUUUCCAAGUACUUGCAGUAAAUUCGAAAAGAUUGCUUCGUUCUUCAUUUACGAAUAUUAAAAGAGAUUUCGGAAACACCAUAAAGGUAAGCAUAAAUCAAUGAAUGAAAUUUUAUUAUAAACCGAACUGUUAUUUAUUUUAUAUGCCAAUUAUUUUGUAACAAGAAAAAAAUAUACUUACAACUUCCUGAAAAGUUCAUCGGUCGAGUAAUGGCGUCGUAUCUGUCGAUCGAUAGUGCAACCAAUACGUACGUAGAGCUAUAGGUGACGACGGCUUGCAUAAACCUGAUGAGUUUGCAGGCAAUGUUACCAGCAUGCCAGGUCACUGUAGUUCUCCAAAUUAUAUCCGUCAGAACUGAUAUCAAACCGACCAAAAGAUCUGUGAACAAGGAUGGAUAGCGAAGUGGAAUGAUUCAUCGUAGUGCGUUAUUAUUAACUGCUAUCCGAGUUUCGUCCACUUCAUUUCCGAACGAAUAAAUAUACAGACCGAUGUAGGUGACGUCAUUACGCGAAUUCUUGAAAUAAACGACUAUAGUAAGCGACGAGGGAAUUAGAGACAGGGAAACGAUGCUCUUUAUAUUCUCUCCUAUCAUCGAGAAAAUGUUUUCGAUUUUGAUUUUUCACGACAAACUCUUCUUUAUUAUCUAUUUUCAUAUGAAACAAGCAUGUAUAUAUACGUACACAUACACGCCCACACAUACCGUCAUAGAAGUAUUCCGAUACAUUCGAAAACUUUUAGUAACCAUGGAAAAAUCAACGUGCUGCAUGAAAUAUAUGAAACAUUACAAGGAAUGCUUUUCUACUGUAGCAGAAACAUUAAAGGAGAAUUCUUAAAUUAAGACAGACGCAUAUAUGAAUAAAUUUGGUAAUUUCUCUAAAAAAUGAAUCAUACAAGUUAUCGAUAGAACGAAGUUAUGAUUUUUGUACGAUUCACUUUGUACUUUUUAUGAUUAAAUAUAAAAUCAAAAUUAAUCUAACAUAAAUUCUAUGUAUGUCUCGUUCUCUGUGUUCAGGUCACGUUCAUCAAAUAUUCCUGGCUGAAUCCCUCUCUCAUGAUUUUUUCUUGUCAGAAAUAUUUAUUUUCUAUGCGGCAUUAUGAUUUCUCGUGGUUCACGGAAGGAUAGUACGAGGAAACGAUUUCGAGAAUAUCGUCGAGCAGUGCGUCUCUCAAAGAAACCAACUUUACCCUCAUGAUUUCCUCAUAUUUUGUCUUCCAAAUAAAAAUCUGAUUGGAAUUCACGUAUCUCGACAGGAGUGAUCGCAAAAUUAAUGUGCACGUAAAAAUGAUGACCAACACAAGCGGUAACCUGCGAACGCCAGUUGCUUGAUGAAGAAGUCCAUCCGAGAUUUUCGACGUUUUCCCAGCAAGAGACCAGCGAGAACUGCAGUGUUACCAGCAACGAUCACAACGAAUAGCAACCACAAAACUGUGAAUUGUUCGGUCUGCAAAAAAGAAAAAUCAUUGCAUACAAACAUGGUUUCCAUCAAAGUUUUAAGUUGUACGAGGAAUAUUUUCAACGUUUGAUAACGAACCUACGAGAGUACAUGUGAAUCACGUUUCGUGGAAAGAACAUUUAAAAUGAAACGUGUACGAGGAUUGAUGAUGAUGACGGUGGUGAGGGUAAUCUAGCGAUCUUUUCCGCUCUACGUCAUCGUCGAAGGCAUCGUGUGAAGGGCGAAGGUGAAGAAGGGGAUCGAGAGGGAUCGUAAAACAUCCUAUUUACGUCCUCGAACGCAGAUUACACCCCUCGGGAGUACAGGACUAGCCCGUAGCAACAGUAUUUUCUUCCAAACGUUGAAUUAUCUAGCUAUCGUACGACAAAAUAUCGUCGAAUCGUCGAAUCGUCGAAUCGUCGAAUCUCCGCCCGAAUAUAGACCGGCCUACUUUCUUGUGAAACUAUAGGAAUAGAACUGAUCUUUUUCUAUGCUUUUACAGAGUAAACGGUAUUGCAUAUAGUCGAUUACUAUUGCUGAAUUUUAUUCAGCGGUCAUGAUCAAUAAGUAGCAGUAUGAUAAAAUCUUUAAAGAGAAUAUUCGAAGGAAGAAAUAGGAUUGAGGGAACGAAGGAAGAGUUAAAAGAUAAUUCCAGAGAGAAUGUUAUAAAGUAAUGAAUCAAAGUGCAUUGAUUAUUUAUGCUCGUCAAUCGAUACCAAAGGAGGAAACGUUGAAAACGACCAAAGGUGUAAAUCGUCGUAUUGCCACGCUGAGAAACUCGUUGAAAUUUCGAGCAACUAGAAACUCGAUCUUAACGCGGCAGGAUUCUUGCUAGAGCGAGCAUAGAAACUAAAGAUAGGAAGUCUACAAUGAUAGACAAAUGGGAUCGUAAAGUUAAUAAGUAAUAGUUGAUAGUAAUAGUAAAGGUUUCAAUGAAAAUUACAUUUAAAUCGUGAUACUGUCUCGGCGAACAAGACUCGACAUUCACGUGCAAUGCAUUAGAAGGCAUUAUUGUUGAAAAAUACUCUGAAAGGUGGGCGCGCACGACGCCCGGAUUAAUACUUUUCUGUAAUUACUUUUCCUUUCGUUCGUCCUGGAACGUAAAAUAAAAAGGAAAAAAGAAAGCAAGCAAGAAAGGAAAAUGUCUUUAAAGGAAUAAAAUCACAUUAUUGAUAUUUCUUUCGCCUCGUAAAACGUCAGGUCUUCGUGUCUUUUUUUUUUUCCUUUUUUCUUUUCUUUUUUUCUUUUUUACCAAAUGGGACAUGAUUUACCAUAAGUAACCAAUUACGAUCUCUGGGAACGUGCUUUUUCACAAUAAUGUAAUUCUAAAUUCGUUAUAUACUUAAUAGCGAAUCAAAUGUCCAUUUCUUUCUUUCUCGAGCGCAAUUAUGUUUUUUCUUUUGAGUAGACAAAA